ACGAACGACAGUAAAACUAGAAUAGAACGACAAUAAAACUCUACUAAAUUUUAUUUAGUAGAGAUAUUUACUAAACAAAAACCACAAACGAACUGAUGAAAACUUAUUAUGAUUAAAAUCGUAGAGAACUAAAAUUAUAUCGAGCAGGUGAAUAGAUUUAAUUAAGAAGAACAUAUUUACCAUUAGUUAUAGUAAGAAAUUAGAACUGAAAUGAAAAGAUUCAUAAAUUUUAUAAAGCUAUUGUUGCUAUAAAUGAACUGAAACCUAUCAAUAUCCAAUGAAAAUAUAAUAUAAAAAGAGAAUCGUUUUUUGAAAGAUGUCAAUUAAAUAUUUUUAAAUAUGAGAAAAAAGGAGAUGGUAAAGAAAUAUUCAAGCAACUUUUGAACAAAUCGAAGAGAAAAAAAGUAAACAAACUGGAUCUAAAAACGAACGACAAAAAAAGACAUGAAAAACAUUAGAGGACAAAACAAUAGACAACGAAACAUUGUUGAUGUGAAAAGCAGCGACAAAGACAAAUAUAAUCGAUAACGAUAGAGACAUCAAUACUGAAAUCGAGAAAAAUAUGGUCGGAAUUGUGUGAAGACAUACCAAGGAGAAAGAAAUGUAAACAAAUUAAAUCUAUAAACGAGCAACUGAAGUCAAUAACAUUAAAGGACAACGAUGGUUAAUAGAAAAACUGAACAGGAGAAUAUUGUAAUGUAAUAACGGAUGACAAGUGCAUGACGAUUUUACUUGUAUUAAAUAUUAACAGUGGAGAUCUCUUAAUCGAAGAAGAGACAUUUAUUACACAGAAGGACCAAUAAGAUAUCAUUUUAUUGAAAGAUAUUAACAUUGAACUUUCUGAAGAAUAAAACAAUAGAAUCGUAAGUAUUUUGAAUCGUCUAUAUUUUUUAUAUAGAUCUUUUUAACAAGUAGGUUAUACCGAUAUUGCCAAGAAGAAUGGCAAUUAUUGAUGGAUACGACAUCGUUACAUUAUUCACUAUAUUAAGUAUUCCAACAAGAACAGCAAUAAAUAAUAAAGCAAUUGAUGGAAACCAACAUCAUCCAAGAGAAUGAUACUCAAUUUUUUAAUCCGGUAAUGUUGGAUCAAAAAACAAAACAGGCUAUAAACGAACAUGCAAAGACUACCUAGUAUAAAUCGUAAGAUAGUUGAAUAACAAUAUCCUAUAGUGAUAAAGAAUUAAUUGAACAGACUAUGAGAUAUAAACUAAAAUACUACAGCUAAUUUAAGUAGCGGAUACUAUCAGGUCUAUGAGGUUUCGUACAUCAUGAUAAGGAUUCUGUUAUAUCUGGAUUCAUCAAGUAGUCGCAAAGCAGUCUUUUGCUUAUUUUUGCGCUAGAUCCCGACAUUUUCGAAAGUUUAUAAUCCAUUUGCUUUUCAACGUUAUCUUGCAUCAAGAACAUGUGUUUCACAUAACAAAUGAAAUGGUGAGGUGCAUAUACUUCUAUAUCAUACACAAUUUAGGUAUAAUUGAAAUAUAUUCAGAAAUUUAAAUCAUUCAUCUCUGAGUUCAGAAUAUUUCUGUAAAAGAAUAUUUCUCCAAAAGAUGUGAAAGACUUGCUAACGGUAAAUUGCAACUAUCAUUUUGCAGAACUCAUCGGUCCGCAUUUAAUGUAAACUAAGACCUUACUAUUUACGGGCUUACAUUUUAAAAUCUUUUUUUUAACCUUACUCUUUACAAACAAUAAUAUAAAAAACAACUUAGUAUAUUUUCUAAAACUAAGAUCAA